UGCCGAGCUGCCGUUGUGUGUAGUUGCUUGUCUGCCGAGCGAAUAGAAGAGUUUGGGAGAUAAGAGAGAUGGCCAUGUGUUUCAAAAACUCGAGAAUCACCAGCCAUUUGUAGAUAAACGAUCUAGUGUUUAUUCCUCCACCAACUUGUCGACUGACCUUUUAGCCUAUUGGCGCGUCGUGUACAAGUGCGUAUACGACCAACCACCAACAAGAUGAACAACUAUGCCGAGAUUCCUCCUGGCACACACCUGGUGAUUACGUUCGCCACCGUCUGGUUGGCUCUCUCGACGCGUCUGGAAUGCUUAAACACCCUGGACAAUUGUGUGUGAGAACAACAUUGCAUCAAUAAGAAGAAGAACGUCUUUGAUUGUGUUCUUCGUAUAUUUAAUGGCGAAAGAAGAAAUGACAGUGAGAAACAACUCGACACCGUUCGGAUUAAACUGCGAGUAGAUUGGAAAUGAAUUUUUCUUUGCUCAUUUCAACAGACUACUACUCUUUCUCGUAUAGGAUAUUCAUCACUGGAAGGG